rnacentral:rRNA from 1 species
GACGAACGCUGGCGGCGUGCCUAAUACAUGCAAGUCGAGCGCGUGAAAUUCGCGGAUCUCUUCGGAGUGAUGCGGAUGGAUCGAGCGGCGGACGGGUGAGUAACACGUGGGCAACCUGCCCGUAAGACUGGGAUAACUUCGGGAAACCGAAGCUAAUACCGGAUAGGCUUUCGCACCGCAUGGUGCGAAAGGGAAGGUGCUUCUGGCAUCACUUACGGAUGGGCCCGCGGCGCAUUAGCUGGUUGGUGAGGUAACGGCUCACCAAGGCGACGAUGCGUAGCCGACCUGAGAGGGUGAUCGGCCACACUGGGACUGAGACACGGCCCAGACUCCUACGGGAGGCUG